rnacentral:rRNA from 1 species
AGUAAAUAGAUACCCGGGUAGUCCACGCCGUAAACGAUGAGUACUAGGUGUAGGAGGUAUCGACUCCUUCUGUGCCGCAGUUAAACACAAUAAGUACUCCGCCUGGGAAGUACGGUCGCAAGAUUAAAACUCAAAGGAAUUGACGGGGGCCCGCACAAGCAGCGGAGCAUGUGGUUUAAAUUCGAAGCAACGCGAAGAACCUUACCUAGACUUGACAUCCCCUGAAUUACCAUGUAAUGUGGGAAGCCCUUCGGGGCAGGGAGACAGGUGGUGCAUGGUUGUCGUCAGCUCGUGUCGUGAGAUGUUGGGUUAAGUCCCGCAACGAGCGCAACCCUUAUCAUUAGUUGCUACCAGUAAGAUGAGCACUCUAAUGAGACUGCCCGGGUUAACCGGGAGGAAGGCGGGGAUGACGUCAAAUCAUCAUGCCCCUUAUGUCUAGGGCUACACACGUGCUACAAUGGUGAGAACAACAAGAUGCGAUACCGCGAGGUGGAGCAAAACUGAAAAGCUCAUCUCAGUUCGGAUUGCAGGCU